GACGAACGCUGGCGGCGUGCCUAACACAUGCAAGUCGAGCGGAGUCGAUCGACGGAAGCCUUCGGGCGGAAGAUGGUUGACUUAGCGGCGGAUGGGUGAGUAACGCGUGGGCAACCUGCCUCGAAGACCGGGAUAACAGUCCGAAAGGGCUGCUAAUACCGGAUGUGGUCAAGGAUCCGCAUGGAUUUUUGAUUAAAGGGGAAACCCGUUUCGAGAUGGGCCCGCGUCCUAUCAGCUAGUUGGUGAGGUAAAAGCUCACCAAGGCGACGACGGGUAGCCGGCCUGAGAGGGUGACCGGCCACACUGGAACUGAGACACGGUCCAGACUCCUACGGGGGCAGCAGUGGGGAAUCUUCCACAAUGGGCGAAAGCCUGAUGGAGCGACGCCGCGUGAGCGAAGAAGGCCUGGUGUAAAGCUCUGUCUGAGGGACGAAGGAAGUGACGGUACCUCCGGAGGAAGCCACGGCUAACUACGUGCCAGCAGCCGCGUAAAAGUCACGUCG
rnacentral:rRNA from 1 species